GUGAAUAUAGUUUAUAAAAAUCCUAGCUUGUGAUUCUAGAGAAGAGGACUAACACUCCCCUAUUCACC
rnacentral:tRNA from 1 species